AUUUUUUCAUUCAUAAAAGAGAAUGUUAUUAGAUUACAGUGACUAAGAUACUCACCUUUGUCUUUGACUGUAAUAUGUCUGAAGGGCUGCAUGGCUCUUGUUCACUUGCAGUGUCCUUGCUUUUGUCCAGCAAUGCCCUCAUAGACCAUGAAGGUUUUUCCCAGUGAUGUUGGUCCCUAAGGGCUCUGGUGGUGGUUCUCAGGGAGUGUAACAGUGUGUAACCUUGAUACUUUUGGACUUGAUCCUCAGUUUGAUGUCAGCUUUGGGACUGAUGAGGUGUGUGUGCUUGUGUGAGGUGAACUGUAUAUAGGUUAGUUAGAGAGCCAGUCAUCCUAUGCGUUCUUCGUAAUCCUUUCAUGAGUGCCUCAUUAGCCUGUGAUGGCCAAACCACAAGAGUGUUUAAUCUUAACCCCGUGAUGGCGAGGAGACCGAAUCUACUUCUGUCCAUCUUCCCAGGGGUUCAAGACUCUGAGGUCCAUAUGGCAGGACAUAGAAGUGAAGUCAGCAUUGUUUUACGAGCCUGCUGCUUUCAUUUUAGGCCAACAUGGCUACAUCUUGGAUUAUUGAUUUUUUCUAAUGAAUAUGUCUUGACUAAUGGGGGUCGUAUCCUAUUGUCCAGUCGAGAUGUGAAUGAUUGCCUUUUUUGAAGGUAGAAGUAAAAGAGAA
ensembl:lncRNA